AUAAGCAUAAGUGAAUGAAUCGUGGCUGGCAUGCUGCGAUGAAUGUUUACAGACUCUUUAGAAGAGACAAGAAGGACAGGAGAAUCAGGACCUCAGUCAAGAGCAGCAGAAUGUCAAGAAGCUGGAGCAAGGAGCACUAAAUUCAUCACAUAUGUCUUCACCAGCCAGCAAUUCUCCUUGAAUCUUCUCUGAAUGGAAUAAACAAGGGAGUCUGAAA